UUAGUCGUCAUUUCCCUUCCCUCUCUCAAUUUAACCCUCACUUAAUUUAGAAAAGCAUGCAGAAAGAAGUUUGGUCAAAUAAGAACACUAUUGACAAUGAUUGAAGACAAAUACAAAGAUUGCAGAAGCUGAAAUACUACCACCUAAAAGAAAAAGGGAACAGAACAGGCUCCAAAACAAUAGAAGCAGACACUCAUUUUUUCUAAAGAUGGCUGCAUUUGAGAGUUCAAGAACCAGCUCAGUCUUGAUCAACAUCUCCUUCAAGGCAGCUGUGAAUAUAAGCUAGAGAGGGGAAUAUUUAAAGAUCAGACAUAAGUUCUAUAUGCCCAAAAGUUGUCAAAUAAUGUACAUCAUUGUCCUGAUAUGCAAGCAGUCUUAGUAGAAAAUGCAUGUACUACAGACUUCAGUGCCAAAGAAAUGGGAUGAGCAUUGAAAGUGAAAAAAAGCAUCAAACAGAAAGAAUUGUUGACAGAUUUAUUUAAUCAAGAGGGAAAUCUAGCUCUAAAUUGACCUAGAGAAAGUAUCAGAUCAGGUGUAUUUAGGAAAGAUGAAUUCUUAACUGCCCAGCAAAUAAAUGGUUUCUUUUCUCGAUUGACAAAACAACAGAGAAUACAGAUAAGCAUGACUGUAAAGUCUAAAAUUCUUAGGUCACAAUUGAAAACACAGAUUUUUGAGACAUUGAAUUGAAGAUUAAAUUUGAACACCAGUAAAAUGAAUAUUGAAUGUUAAAUUAAAGUUUAAUAUUAUAACAUUUGUCAUAGGUCUGAAAUCUCUAAACCUAUGAUCCUAACAAGAUAUGGCCAUACAAUAGGUUUUCUGAAACACAAUGCUUCAAGUUUUUAUGAAAUUUGUGAAAUGUUAUCAUGUAGAUAUUUAUUUUGAUAUUUUAUUUGUUACACAUUUGAACAUGUUGAAUGUAUGAACUUUUCAUUUGAAUUUUAUUUGGGUCAAUAUGUUCAAACUUGAUAAGUUGAUAUUUCUGUAACCAUAGCAGUUUAAACUCUUUUUUGAGAAUUGCUAAGUCUCUUGAAAGUUUUGUAAUACCUGUACAAUUUCUUUGGUAUACUUGUUGAUUUUAUGUUAUUUUGUAAAAUGCAGACAUGUUGCCUUUGGCAUAGU